GUGACAUCAGCGGUCAUGGAGAGUCUCCAUCCAGCUGGAUCACUGUCACAGAUAUACCUGCAAUUACAGCCCUUCCUACUCCAGAAACUCCAGGAACUUCUCAAACUUCCCUUCAUUUUGACUUUACACUCAUUCGCUAUCUGGUGGUCUUCUGUCCAUACUUCAUCUCCACUCUCAUCAUGGUAUCUUUAUAUCGAUGUAGAGGAAAUGACCUGUCCAUCUCUGAACCAAUGAGCAUACCAAGGCCGAGGGAUUGAAUGAAGAGGAUGAUAUUCUCACAAAAGAGCAUCUAGAGAUCCAUCCCAUCAAGGAGCGGCGAGUGCUUUUUCACAGCACAUAGAUAUGCUGUGAAAACAACCAGAAAAGGCUGCUGCAUAUAAGCAAAUUAUAUGCGGGGAGUCUGACCCAAUAAUAAUAAUAAUUUGCCUCAUCCCAUGAGCCAAGAUGUGAAAAAAAAUGGGUCAUUGUCAGAGAUUUCAGGUGAAACCACGAUGAGACCUUCCCUUAUUAUUGGAACUACUGAGAUCAUCUGAUGCAAGGUGUGAGUGGCCAUUGAGCCGCCUGGGAAGGGAUCUCAAAACUGCGUUAUAGAUGGCAGACAGUUGGUGUCGUAGAGAUGCUUGUCUCCUCUGGAUCUCAGGGAAAGCCAGGUCCAAUCCUUUCCCCUCACUCGCCUUCCAAGAUGCUCACCAGGCCACUCUCCCCUCCCUCCAGAGCCAUAUGCGCUCCAACUGUCAAUUUCACCACGUCAGAGACUUCCUGCCAAGCUUUCUUCCCUCGUGUCGAUCUUUACUCUUGUGUUCAAUAAGGCUUAUGUGAAAUCUUAUCACUCCCUCCUGUGGUUGAAUCUUCACUUGAGUCCACAUUUUACGUACUGGCCUCCGAGCCCUUUUCACAAUCAGCAGCUGGAAUUGCGCCAUGGAGGGAUACUCUUUGAGAAGAAAUCUCCUGACAACUAACUUUUCAAUUUCAUAACUUCCAAGAGGAGUGAAAUUAAUGGGCAUUAAUAUACAUGCUAACUACUCACUUAUGUGUGUUGGCCCUACAAGAAAAGACGUUUAAAUUUUUCAAUUUCAUCUCCAGAUUUUAAGCAUCGACAAAAUGUUAAUACAACAUCAUCACUUGGUAUGUAUAAUUUGUGUUGUUGUAAAUAAAAUUUGGGGGUAAGCAUACCAGAUUGGGGUUUUUAUGGCAAAAAAAGAUAUAACUAAUAUUGAGUAUAUUAGCUAUUCUCUAUUUUUAAAUGUUUUUCAUGAAAGAUAAAACAUGAACUAGGCUAAUCCAUACAUAACAAGAUAAACAAGCAUAAAAUUCUUAAAAAUCUAAAACAGACAUGCACAUUGAUUACCAAACACAAAUAUUCAAUAUCCACACAACAUUUUUGAGUAGUUAGAUCUUGAAGGCUUCCUGGGCUUCUGUCUCUUGCAGAGCAGAAACAUCCUUCUCACGGUACUUUAGUGCAGACAGGUGAGAGGAGGUCAAGGGGGAUCAGAGCAGAGGGGGGUGAGGGCUGCAGAAAGUCUUGUGUAGAUGUGAGGUGAACAGAUUGGAGGUGUGAACAGACUGACUUUCAAAUCUGCGGUAGAAGGUGUGAAGCCAGUUGAGGAUUUUCCUCAGGGUGGAGGGAUGGACUCCUCUAGCUGGUGGUGUGGUGCAGGCCUCUCAAAAUUGAUGCAAGCUGUUUGGUUGAGAAGCUGUUUUUUUUUUGCUUCUCACUGCAAUUCAUUUCUUCAAUGAUUGUCUACUUUCAAGAUUAGGCUUAAAACUUUUAUUUUUGUUAAAGCAUAUAUUUAGGGCUGGAUCAGGUGACCCUGAAUCCUCCCUUAGUUAUGCUGCAAUAGA